rnacentral:rRNA from 1 species
UGUAGCCUACGGGGGGCAGCAGUGGGGAAUAUUGCACAAUGGGGGGAACCCUGAUGCAGCGACGCCGCGUGAGUGAAGAAGUCAUUCGUGAUGUAAAGCUCUAUCAGCAGGGAAGAAAAUGACGGUACCUGACUAAGAAGCCCCGGCUAACUACGUGCCAGCAGCCGCGGUAAUACGUAGGGGGCAAGCGUUAUCCAGAUUUACUGGGUGUAAAGGGUGCGUAGGUGGCAGGGCAAGUCAGAUGUGAAAGCCCGGGGCCCAACCCCGGUACUGCAUUUGAAACUGUCCGGUU